rnacentral:rRNA from 1 species
UACGUAGGGAGCAAGCGUUGUCCGGAAUCAUUGGGCGUAAAGCGCGCGUAGGCGGCCCUGUAAGUCCGCUGUGAAAGUCAAAGGCUCAACCUUUGAAAGCCGGUGGAUACUGCAGGGCUAGAGUCCGGAAGAGGCGAGUGGAAUUCCUGGUGUAGCGGUGGAAUGCGCAGAUAUCAGGAGGAACACCAAUAGCGAAGGCAGCUCGCUGGGACGGUACUGACGCUAAGGCGCGAAAGCUAGGGGAGCAAACGGG